CCAAAAGUAGGAAGGAGUUCCAGAUUACUAAUUAUUCCAGUCCACACUGAUUUCUCUGUUGAAUUUUCAUAGCACAGAAAGUCCCAGGAUGACAAACUCUCCUGGAAUCUCUGAUAAGUACUAUGGCUUUUGGACUGCCCAAACAGUUCAGCCUGCAGGUCAAAAGGAGUGAUUACUAUGGCAAAUGAGAUGAGUUGGACAAAGAAGAUAAUGGCAGUAAGAUGGUGAAGAUUCGGUGGAACCAUCAGUGUCAGAUUUAUUAUUGAAUUCAGUCAUGUGUGGACUUUCCUUAGCAACAAGGAAUAGAUAGUGAGAAAGUCUUAAGAAGACAGGAUGUUCUGCAAAUUACUUCAUUAUUUUUUUAAUCAUAUUGCCAGAUGUGAAGAAAAUAAUGCUACUGUAACCAUUUUGAGUCAACUGAUCAGUUGAUUGAAACUUUCUCUGAUGUUUUAAAUCAGUGAUUCCAGCGCUGGCUACUUAUUAGAAUCACCUAAGGAGUUUUUCAAAUUUACCAAUGGAUCUCAGAACAAUUAAAGCAGAAUUUAGUUGAGAUGGGCUCUGGCAGCAGUAUUUUCUUUCUCUAAGCUCCCCAGAGUAUUCUGAUGUGUAGCCAGGAUUAAGCACCACUGUUUUAAAUGAAAUUAAUUGGAAAAAAUCUGCCUGACAGCAGCUUAGUAGAACACACCUGUCAGUUAUCAACUAAUACCCAGGAACGGGGUUUAUGACCUGUAUGUAAAUCCAGGUUUAACAAGCAGACCUCUUAAGAGAGAGAGAGAAGCUGAAGAUGCUCCUGGAAUCUAUCUGACGCAGAUGCACAUGGCUCUGUUCUUCUCACUCUGAAAGCAUGCUUGACUUUGGGGUAGCUGGAGCCUGGGCCUGGUAGCAGGGCCUGGCCAAGCAGAGUGAGUGGAAAGAGUAAACACUGUGUCUCUCAUGUUGUCCCUCAGUUUCCGGCCACAGAUGCCUUGCCUUGUCCACUAGAGACUUCCUGAACUUCGGAUACUGCUUACCUGCCAGGUGCUCCCAACUCUACCAGACCUGGCUGGUCUCCCCAUCCUUCAUCACUCUCCUCCAACUUCCUAAUUCAAGACCUUCUUGCACUUGAAGGAUGCCACCCAGUUUAUGUCUGUCUCAGAGGAGGAGAGCAAGCUUCGGGGAACUCUGCCUGCAGAGAUGGACAAGCUCUGGAUCUGAAGGCAUUCCCUAAAGCAACACCAGCCCCUUGUUUUCUGCCGACCUGGCCUAUUUGGAGCAAAUUACUUACUGUUCUGUCUGUCCAGCUUGGAACUGAGAAGUCCAAAGGGAUGGAGAGAGACAGACAGGAAGGAUCCGUGUCAGGAGGCAGGCAAUUUAGAUGAACUCUUUUGCCUUGUUCUCUCUACCCUCACCCCCAUCCUAGCCCCAACAGAUAGCUAGCAGAGCCCUAGGUCCCUGCCCACUACCCCUAUUAAUGGAAGCCUAAUGUACUUGGGCAAAUCUCCCAGCUCUCCAAGUCAAUUUCCCUUAUGUAGACUAGAGAUAAAAUAUAAAACUGUCAUAAGACAAAUUGAGAGUAACAUGGAAGCAUAUACAUUACCAUAUGUAAACAGAUAGCCAGUGGGAAUUUGCUGUAUGAAGCAGGGAGCUCAAAUCUGAUGCUCUAUGACAACAUAGAGGGGUGGGGUGGGGUGGGAGGUAGGAGGGAGGGAACAUAUA
ensembl:lncRNA